UCUCUCUCUCUCUCUCUCUCUCCUCCAAACCACGACAGAUUCUAUUUUCUCUCUUUCUCCUCCAAACGACAUACUCUCUCUGUCCCUUCCAUUGAAGCUUUCUGGUUCCACAAAUAUCAACCCAGACGAAGUCCAAACCAGCUGCUGAGGAGGUCAGUACAAUGGAAGAAAAGCCUCUAGAUACUGGGUUGCAAAUUUCUAUGUCUUCAGAUGAUAUGGAAGAAGACUUACAAUCUAAUCGCCCGUUUGAAGGCUCCAUUGUCAAUGGUUUAUUUGAUGAACAGAAUCCAUCAAGAAAUGAUUACUUGGUUGAGGAAGUUAGCAGUGCAUGAGAGGCUUUUGUGCAGCAUGGCCAGGACUAUGGUCUUUUUUUUAUCUCUCACAGCAUAGGAGAGUUUUGUAGAUGACAUAUUAUUAGGGGAUAUGAGUUAUCUAUUUGGUAGAACAAGUUUAGGAUUUGAACUAUGUAUCAUUUUGAAGUCAAUGGAUGUUGCUUCAGUAGUGCAACUUUUCAUACAUAUUGGAUUUGAUUGAAGAGUUGUAUUGAAAUUAUGAAUUUGAAUUUUUUUUCAUUGGCAUACGAAACUG